rnacentral:lncRNA from 1 species
CUUUGGUGUCGCUGAAGGGCAUCUUCUAUUUGAAAGGCAGGAUAAUGGUUUUGGCAAGUAUAUUUGAAGCGUGGCUCGUAUUUCCAUUUCAAAGGUUUUGUUUGGCGGGGAGUCAUCUGAGUAAUUAGUGCCAGAGUAAGACAUCAUGAAUAGUUUGGUAGUGGGCUGGUUUUCUUUGUUUCAAGUGAUUUUCACUUGUGGU